rnacentral:rRNA from 1 species
CCAGACUCCUACGGGAGGCAGCAGUGGGGAAUAUUGCACAAUGGGGGAAACCCUGAUGCAGCGACGCCGCGUGAAGGAAGAAGUAUUUCGGUAUGUAAACUUCUAUCAGCAGGGAAGAAAGUGACGGUACCUGACUAAGAAGCCCCGGCUAACUACGUGCCAGCAGCCGCGGUAAUACGUAGGGGGCAAGCGUUAUCCGGAUUUACUGGGUGUAAAGGGAGCGUAGGCGGCGAUGCAAGUCAGAAGUGAAAGCCCGGGGCCCAACCCCGGGACUGCUUUGGAAACUGUGAAGCUGGAGUGCGGGAGGGGCAGGCGGAAUUCCUGGUGUAGCGGUGAAAUGCGUAGAUAUCAGGAGGAACACCGGCGGCGAAGGCGGCCUGCUGGACCGUAACUGACGUUGAGGCUCGAAAGCGUGGGGAGCAAACAGGAUUAGAUACCCUCGUA